rnacentral:rRNA from 1 species
UUAGGAAUUUUGGGCAAUGGGGGAAACCCUGACCCAGCAACGCCGCGUGGGUGACGAAGGCCUUCGGGUUGUAAAGCCCUUUUCCAGGGGAAGAUAGUGACGGUACCCUGGGAAUAAGCCCCGGCUAACUACGUGCCAGCAGCCGCGGUAAUACGUAGGGGGCAAGCGUUGUCCGGAUUUAUUGGGCGUAAAGCGCUCGCAGGCGGCCUGGCCAAGUCGUGCGUGAAAUCUCCCGGCUCAACUGGGAGCGGUCGUGCGAUACUGGUCGGCUCGAGGCCGGUAGGGGGGAGUGGAAUUCCGGGUGUAGUGGUGGAAUGCGUAGAUAUCCGGAGGAACACCAGUGGCGAAGGCGGCUCCCUGGACCGGUCCUGACGCUCAGGAGCGAAAGCGUGGGUAGCGAUCCGG